rnacentral:rRNA from 1 species
GUUUACCUCGGAUCAGGUAGGGAUACCCGCUGAACUUAAGCAUAUCAAUAAGCGGAGGAA